rnacentral:rRNA from 1 species
UACGUAGGGUGCGAGCGUUGUCCGGAUUUAUUGGGCGUAAAGAGCUCGUAGGCGGCUUGUCGCGUCGGAUGUGAAAGCCCGGGGCUUAACUCCGGGUCUGCAGUCGAUACGGGCAGACUAGAGUGCGGUAGGGGAGACUGGAAUUCCUGGUGUAGCGGUGAAAUGCGCAGAUAUCAGGAGGAACACCGGUGGCGAAGGCGGGUCUCUGGGCCGUAACUGACGCUGAGGAGCGAAAGCGUGGGGAGCGAACAGG